UAUGGAAUGAUGUUUUACAGAAAUUUUUGUCAUAUAGGUUUCUGGGUAUACGCAAAAUAUUUUGUCAAGGUCCUGUGACAGUGUAAUAUCACCUGUGGCAAUGACAGAAACUGCUGAGAAUGAUUCAAAAAAUGGGGACAUGGCUGUCCCUGAUAAAACAGAUGAAAAACUAAUCAGACGAAUAGUACGUCAAGUUGAGUUCUACUUCGGAGAUUACAAUUUGAUGCGAGACAAUUUUAUGAGAGAUGAAAUGAAAAAAGAUGAAGGCUGGUUUACAAUGGAGACAAUGUUAAAAUUCAAAAGAUUAUCAUCUAUUUGUUCUGAACCAUUAACCAUAAUAGAAGCAUUGAAAACAUCAAAAAUUGGAUUAUUAGAGAUUGAUGCAGAAAAUCAUAGAAUUCGAAGGAAACCGAAUCGUGAAAUUCCUGAAGAUAAUGAAGAAUACAGAAGAAAAGUUAAAGCUAGAACAGUUCAUAUUAAUGGCUUCCAAAGUGAAGAAAACAUUGAUGAUGUAAAUGAUUUUCUUGCAACAUAUGGAAGAAUAGAAGGUGUUCAGUUACAAAGGACAAGUGAUAAAAAAUUUAAGGGUUCAUUAUUUGCAACAUUUUUCAAACAAGAGGAUGCUGAUAGUUUUAUUCAAGCUCCAAUGGUUUAUUAUAAAGUUUGUGAACUGACCAAAAUGUCAAAAUCUGAUUAUUAUCAUCAAUUGAAUGAUUCCAGACAAUCUGAGAAAAAGAAAAGAAAAAUUUCAGAUGAAUCUCAAUCGAAGCAUGAUGAUCUUAAAGGAACAGUAGCUUUGAAGGUUUCUGGCAUCACUGAUGACACCAUCAUUCAUACUGAUGUGAAGCAAGUCUUUGAAUCAAGCGAUGUCCAUACCAUUCGAUUUUUUGACAGAUUGAGCAAGAUGGGCAGUGAGGGUUACUUGAUAUUCCAAGAUGAACGCAAGCCUGAAGAACUGCUAGAGAUACUUAAGCAGAACAAAGGUGAUACAAAAGUUACUCUCAAAAUCAGCAGAGGUAGAGUUCUCUGUACCAACACCGGAAGAAAACCAGAAUAUUGGAGAGCAAUAUGUUGAGGCCAGACAAAGAACAUUUGGAAGAAAAGGUAAGAAGAAUCCAAGAGGGCACAAAUACAAUAAAUUUCAUAAAAAGAGGUCAGGAGAUAAAGUUGGAGGAAAGAGAACAACAUUUGACAGCGACGAAGAAAGAGAAGCUGAUCAAGAUCAACCAUCUGCAAAAAUCAUUAGAACAGAAAAUUCUGAAUCAAAAGAAGUUGAAGGUUGCUGAAAAAACAAUUAUAGUAUCUUCAAUUGGUACAUCAUGUCAAAAGGUCUUUUUUAGUGGAAACCUGUUUCUGCAAUCCACUUCUUUUGGUUGUCUGUCCAAAUUGGGCUUAUGUUGGAGAACAUUGCACAGCCAAGUUAAUGUAUCAUGAGGACUUUAGGUAAAUAGAAUUUGAUGAUAUGAUGUAAUAAUACUAAUGACUGGGAACUACUAUUCAAUUUUAAAAAAACUUCAAAAGGAAAAUAUUUAAUGACAACAACAUUAACUUUUCUCACUUUUUCAAGUAUUCUUUAUCUGUUCCAGCCCCACAAAUGUCCUGUCUGCGGCAUUAAGAUAUAACAUAAAUAAAACAUUUAGCAUUCAUACUUGCUACAUGCUUAUGGGCAUGUCUGAUGAGUUUAUUUGGUGUCAUUACUUUUGAAUGAUGAUAUUUAGGUUAUUGUUUUUCAAAAAUCACAUUAAACUGUGUGGGGAAAUUACUGUAUAUUCUCUCGCAAGAAAUGUAUUCUGUCAGAAGUGAUAAAAUUGGAGCGAUUGGAAAUUGUUGCCAUUGAUCAUACAGGGAUAUCAUCAUACAGUGCAAAAUUUACUUACCCUGUCAUGAAUGUUCAAGAUUAUCCACUGGAUGUCAUUUUUUUCCCCCUAUUUUCAAUAAAACUGCCUUGAGACAUUGGAUAGUAAGUCAUCAGUAUAAAAUAUACAGUGGAUGAAGUAAUGAUGUAAAUAAAUUUUGGUAUGCUUCCCUUUCCAUAAAAGGUAUCUAAGUUCUUGAGUAAUCAUCUGUGUUUGAAACACGCACCUUCAUCAAAAUACUAAAAUAUGUGUUUUUCUGACAUAUAUGCAGAGAUGGCUCAUGUCUGCCUAUUAUUUAUUUGACGAAUAUAAUCCUUCACAAAGUUUCAGUGUUUUCAGGGUCAAAAUAUUUGGCAGAUAUCAGCACUGCAAAAUCAUCAAAUUUUGAAAAUUUGUCACAUUUUUGUUUCAUAUGUUUAUUUUGGUUACUGGUGCUCAGUUUUUGGAUUUUCAGUUCAAAUGAUUUAUCCAAUAUCCUUUUUUGUAUUUGUUCUUCAACUUUUAAAUGCAUUGUGUCAUUUAAGUUUGAAAGGUUCUGUAACUUAUGUGUUAGUGGAUAAUAUUUUCCAAAUUUCUAUGAUCAAGGCUAUUCAGUGUAGUUUUCAAACAGUCACAGUUGGUGUCCAAAAAUAAAUUUUACAAUAAAAAUUCUGCUUAUUUCUGUUAGUAAUUUCAUGUAGUCUGGUUGAAGUAAAAAAAAUCAUUUUUCAUGACAACACUUGAAAUUUGACAAUGGGAGCCUGAGUUCUUAGUCACUUAUUGAAAGAUGAAAUAAAUAUUGACAGAGUAAUUGA